AGUGAACGCUGGCGGUAGGCCUAACACAUGCAAGUCGAACGGCAGCACAGUAAGAGCUUGCUCUUACGGGUGGCGAGUGGCGGACGGGUGAGGAAUACAUCGGAAUCUACUUUUUCGUGGGGGAUAACGUAGGGAAACUUACGCUAAUACCGCAUACGACCUACGGGUGAAAGCAGGGGAUCUUCGGACCUUGCGCGAUUGAAUGAGCCGAUGUCGGAGUAGCUAGUUGGCGGGGUAAAGGCCCACCAAGGCGACGAUCCGUAGCUGGUCUGAGAGGAUGAUCAGCCACACUGGAACUGAGACACGGUCCAGACGCCUACGGGAGGCAGCAGUGGGGAAUAGUGGACAAAGGGCGCAAGCCUGAUCCAGCCAUACCGCGUGGGUGAAGAAGGCCUUCGGGGUGUAAAGCCCUUUUGUUGGGAAAGAAAAGCAGCAGGUUAAUACCCCGCGGUUCUGACGGUACCCAAAGAAUAAGCACCGGCUAACUUCGUG
rnacentral:rRNA from 1 species